AGCAGCUGUGGUAAUUCCAGCUCCAAUAGCGUAUAUUAAAGUUGCUGCAGUUAAAAAGCUCGUAGUUGAAUUUCGGGACCAUCAUGUCGGUCGUGCCUCGGUACGUACUGGCAUUGUUGGUUUCUACCUUCUGACGAACCAUGAUGUCAUUUAUUUGGUGUCUUGGGGAAUCAGGACUGUUACUUUAGAAAAAUUAGAGUGUUUAAAGCAGGCUCGCGCUUGAAUACAUUAGCAUGGAAUAAUGAAAUAGGACGUUCGAUCCUAUUUUGUUGGUUUCUAGGAUCAACGUAAUGAUUAAUAGGGAUAGUUGGGGGCAUUAGUAUUCAAUUGUCAGAGGUGAAAUUCUUGGAUUUAUUGAAGACUAACUACUGCGAAAGCAUUUGCCAAGGAUGUUUUCAUUAAUCAAGAACGAAAGUUAGGGGAUCGAAGACGAUCAGAUACCGUCGUAGUCUUAACCAUAAAC
rnacentral:rRNA from 1 species